rnacentral:rRNA from 1 species
UACGUAGGGGGCUAGCGUUGUCCGGAAUCAUUGGGCGUAAAGCGCGUGUAGGCGGCUCGGUAAGUCCGCUGUGAAAGUCGGGGGCUCAACCCUCGGAUGCCGGUGGAUACUGUCGGGCUAGAGUACGGAAGAGGCGAGUGGAAUUCCUGGUGUAGCGGUGAAAUGCGCAGAUAUCAGGAGGAACACCGGUGGCGAAGGCGGCACUCUGGGCCGGUACUGACGCUGAGGAGCGAAAGCGUGGGGAGCGAACAGG